AGUGAACGCUGGCGGUAGGCCUAACACAUGCAAGUCGAACGGCAGCACAGUAAGAGCUUGCUCUUACGGGUGGCGAGUGGCGGACGGGUGAGGAAUACAUCGGAAUCUACUUUUUCGUGGGGGAUAACGUAGGGAAACUUACGCUAAUACCGCAUACGACCUACGGGUGAAAGCAGGGGAUCUUCGGACCUUGCGCGAUUGAAUGAGCCGAUGUCGGAUUAGCUAGUUGGCGGGGUAAAGGCCCACCAAGGCGCCGAUCCGUAGCUGGUCUGAGAGGAUGAUCAGCCACACUGGAACUGAGACACGGUCCAGACUCCUACGGGAGGCAGCAGUGGGGAAUAUUGGACAAUGGGCGCAAGCCUGAUCCAGCCAUACCGCGUGGGUGAAGAAGGCCUUCGGGUUGUAAAGCCCUUUUGUUGGGAAAGAAAAGCAGCAGGUUAAUACCCCGCUGUUCUGACGGUACCCAAAGAAUAAGCACCGGCUAACUUCGU
rnacentral:rRNA from 1 species